GGCUGUAUCCCCCGAGCCAUCGGCGCCUCCAUAUAUGCCCAAACGCAUACAAUGGCCAUGUCGUCCAGUUUGCAUACACACAAUGCGCCUCCCGCCGUGCGCUCCACCAGCACCACCCGGGGCCACAAAAUGGAUCAAAACGAAAAAAAGACCCCUCACGACUGGACCCAACACUCUGUUUCAUCUUUGGAUGUCUAUGACCGGGUUUAUCUGUGAAGAGGAGAGAAAAAGUUAUUAAGAAUACAGCAACUCUACAGUCA